GUUCUGAUUAUUGAAAGGUGCUUGCAUCUUGAUUUAAUUUUGAACGAGUGGCGGACGGGUGAGUAACACGUGGGUAACCUGCCCUUAAGUGGGGGAUAACAUUUGGAAACAGAUGCUAAUACCGCAUAAAUCCAAGAACCGCAUGGUUCUUGGCUGAAAGAUGGCGUAAGCUAUCGCUUUUGGAUGGACCCGCGGCGUAUUAGCUAGUUGGUGAGGUAACGGCUCACCAAGGCAAUGAUACGUAGCCGAACUGAGAGGUUGAUCGGCCACAUUGGGACUGAGACACGGCCCAAACUCCUACGGGAGGCAGCAGUAGGGAAUCUUCCACAAUGGACGCAAGUCUGAUGGAGCAACGCCGCGUGAGUGAAGAAGGCUUUCGGGUCGUAAAACUCUGUUGUUGGAGAAGAAUGGUCGGCAGAGUAACUGUUGUCGGCGUGACGGUAUCCAACCAGAAAGCCACGGCUAACUACGUGCCAGC
rnacentral:rRNA from 2 species